GAUGAACGCUGGCGGCGUGCCUAAUACAUGCAAGUCGAGCGAACGGACGAGAAGCUUGCUUCUCUGAUGUUAGCGGCGGACGGGUGAGUAACACGUGGAUAACCUACCUAUAAGACUGGGAUAACUUCGGGAAACCGGAGCUAAUACCGGAUAAUAUUUUGAACCGCAUGGUUCAAUAGUGAAAGACGGUCUUGCUGUCACUUAUAGAUGGAUCCGCGCUGCAUUAGCUAGUUGGUAAGGUAACGGCUUACCAAGGCAACGAUGCAUAGCCGACCUGAGAGGGGGGUCCGCCAAACUGGAACUGAAGCACGGGCCAGGCCCCUACGGGAGGCAAGAGUAAGGAAACUUCCGCAAAGGGCGAAAGGCUGACGGGACAACGCCGCGUGAGGUGAGGAAGGCUUCAGAUCGGAAAACUCUGGUAAUAGGGAAGGACAUAAUUUGAAGGUACUGUUCACAGCUUGACGGUACCCAAACAAAAAGGCACGGCUAACUACGUG
rnacentral:rRNA from 1 species